UUAAUUACAUUUAUUGUGAUUAUAUUGUUUAUAAAUAUAAUAUUUUAAAUUUUAAGAGAAAUAACUUUAAAAUUUAAGAAGUUAGUAAUUUUUAAUAAAAUCGUUUUUAAACUAUAGUGAAAAGUACUGAGAAGGAAAAAAAUAAAAUUUUUGAUAGUAAAUAUGAAUUUUUGUACCUUGUGUAUCAGAGAAAAUCUAUAUAAAUUAAUAAUAUUUAAUAGUCUCGAAAUAAAAUAUAGCUAAUUUUAUAAAAUUUUUUUUGUAGAAAAUAAAUAUUUAAUAUAAAAUUAAAGGUGAAAUGCUAAUCGGGUUUUAUAAUAUCUAGUUUUUUGAAAAAAGAUUAAAUCUAGUUUUUGUUUUUAAAAUAAACAAAAAUUAAGUGUAGGAGGGAUUAGCUUCUUAUAGACCAAAAUAAUAAAGAGUUAAAAAAUUAAUUAAUAGUAAAUUAAGCUUAAAAAUAGCUAUAUUAACAAAAUGUUUUAAUUGAAUCAACUUUAAAUAAUAUUUAUAAAAACUUUAAAUUUAUCAAAAAAUUAAUUCAAAUAUAAAAAAUUAAGUUAUAAUGAUUUUAUUAGUAAAAUUUUAUUGUGAGUUAUAUAUUAUAUUAAAAUAAUGAAAUUUAUUUAAAUAUUAAAUGAUAAUAUAGAGGAACUCGGCAAAAAUUGUCUUUUUGCCUGUUUAUCAAAAACAUGUCUAUUUGAAGGUAUAAAAAGUUUAACCUGCCCACUGAUAAGUAUAAAAAUAUUAAAUGGCCGCGGUACUUUGACCGUGCAAAGGUAGCAUAAUCGUUAGUUUUUUAAUUGAAAUCUUGUAUGAAUGGUUGGACAAGAAAGAAUCUGUCUUUAUAUUAUAAAUUGAAUUUAACUUUUAAGUGAAAAGGCUUAAAUUAAUUAAAGGGACGAUAAGACCCUAUAAAGCUUUAUAUUAUUAUUUUAUUUAGUUAAAUUUUAAAAAAUAAAAAUUUAAUAAAAAAAUUUAUUUUAUUGGGGCGAUAAAAGUAAAAUGAUUAUUAACUGCUUAAUUUUUAAUACAUUUAUUAAUGAUUAAAUUUUAAAUGNUCCUGUUUAAAGAUUAAAAGUUUAAGUUACUUUAGGGAUAACAGCGUUAUUUUUUUUGAGAGUACUUAUCGAAAAAAAAGUUUGCGACCUCGAUGUUGAAUUAAAAUAUCUUUAUAAUUGCAGUAGUUAUAAAAGUAGGUCUGUUCGACCUUUAAAAUUUUACA
rnacentral:rRNA from 1 species